rnacentral:rRNA from 1 species
AACCUGCGGAAGGAUCAUUAUUGAAUAAACUUGGUUGGGUUGUGCUGGCUUUUCGGAGCAUGUGCAUGCCUAGCGCCAUUUUUACCACCUGUGCACAUUUUGUAGAUUUGAAACAAUUCUCGAGGAAACUCGGUUUGAGGAAUGCUGUGCGGAAGCUUAGCUUUUCUUGUGUUCCAAGUCUAUGUUUUUAUAUACCCCAUAAGAAUGUAAUAGAAUGUCAUUAAUGGGCUUUGUUGCCUUUAAAUUAAUACAACUUUCAACAACGGAUCUCUUGGUUCUCGCAUCGAUGAAGAACGCAGCGAAAUGCGAUAAGUAAUGUGAAUUGCAGAAUUCAGUGAAUCAUCGAAUCUUUGAACGCACCUUGCGCUCCUUGGUAUUCCGAGGAGCAUGCCUGUUUGAGUGUCAUUAAAUUCUCAACCUUUCCAGCUUUUGCAAGUUGGAUUGGCUUGGAUGUGGAGGGUUUUGCGGGCUUCUCAGAAGUCGGCUCCUCUUAAAUGCAUUAGCAGAACCUUUGUGGACCAGCUUUGGUGUGAUAAUUAUCUAUGCCAUUGUUGUAAAGCAGCUUUUAUAUGGGGUUCAGCUUCUAAUAGUCCAUUGACUUGGACAAUUUCUGACAUUUGACCUCAAAUC